UCGAAGGUCGUCGGUCAGUUUGUAAGGGACAUAGUAUAGCUCCUUGUUUACUUUGUUGGUCUGACCUUGAGGUAGUGUAUCUGAUGUCUUGAAUCUUGAUCUGAAAAGAAAAAAACAGUUUUUACAGAAGUAGCAUUUGCAAUUUAGUUAUAUUUUGUUUCAUAUGUAUUCCAAAUUCUCGCUCUUGUGUUAUCUUCAGGGGGGUUCGUGUUAGUCAUCUGAGCAAAGAAAUCUGUUGCCCUUGUGCUAUGUCAUGUAUAUUGUUAGACCUCUAUCGUAUAUGUGGCAUAUAACUACACUAUUGGCCUUCUUGAUAUUUUAAGUAUUUCCCUGCUAAGAAGGAUGAGCAAGGAAAUUUCUUCCCUGUUAACAGUAUAGUGGAGCUUCUUCAUUUGUAUUUAUUCAACCUCUAUUCCCAUUCAGGUUGUUUUCUUAAGCUACCUAAAGGAGCUCUCUAUUGACAUCAAUUUAGGAGGGCCAGCAGUAUCCUUGAUUGAGUACAGGUGUGUGCCUCGGCCUCCAGUCUGAAUGAACAACCCUUGUAUUGUCUGGUAGUGACCUAUAUGUGUUUAUGGUUCAUAAGGGAAUAAGAAAGACCGGUAAGAUCGUCUUCUGUUGGUGAAGGUCUGUGUUAUAGAUUGUUACAACCAUUCUUUAGCUCGAGUUUUUUUAAUUGGAGAAGCCAAAAGAUGGAUUUCACAGGUCGACAAAAAAGGUUGAUGUACAUUUAUAAACCGCCUAGCAUGGAUAAUUACACCCAAUAAACAUUGCAAUGCAUCCAUAGGUUGUUCCGUGAUUUUGUAAUCUGUGACUCUUGAAAACUUGCUUUUAUGUCCUGACUCAAUAUUUGUUUUGACCAUUGGCCUUCCUAGCAGGAUGCUUGCAGUUCCAAUACCAUCAUGACUAAUUUGUGCAGUCCUCAUUUUUUAAUUCUGAGCCUUUUGUGCUUCUUAGUUGUGAUAUAGUUUGACUAGGAAAGGCAACAACAAAACUACGUCCUGGAAAUGUCAUUCUGCUUGGUCUUAUGAGUUUACUGAAUUGAAAAACUCUUGUUUCAAUGUUUUUAAUGCUCACACCAUUAUGUCAAGCAAAAUUAUGGGGUACAUGUCUUUGCUAAUACCUCCAAUUUAUUCUCUGCAGUGAAGAAUCAAGCUUAUCUAUUUUAGGUCAGUGUUUUUUGUAUUCACUAAAUAAUGCCAGGGGUGAAGCCUAAACUAAGCAGUGUGCGUGAGGAAGGCAAGCGUGCUGGCGAGCGUGGGGGCGACCAUGAUGUGGCUCGGAGAAAGGGUGCACAUGGGAUUACUACCCAUUGGGUCUGCAAAUAUGAGAGUGGCAAGGCAUGGGUAUUUAGCUCUAGUUGUGUGUGGGCUGCUCGAGCUGCGCGCCAAUGUGGAGGCCCUGCACCGCCGCCGAUGGGCUGAUUUUGUUGCACGUCGUGGUGGGGACGCCCGUGUGUGCGCUGCUUGUGCUGGGCGCUGAUGUGGACGCCCCAGAUCGGAUGGGACGCCGUUGGAGCUGCCGCGGGAUAUGGUGGUGGUCCGUCGAUGGAGCUGGGAGCAGACGCGGAGGCAAUGGGCUCGACUCUCUGUGUGCAAAUCAUGAUGACUUGGAGCACUGUCAUGGGAAGUUUUUAUUCAUCUUUACCUAUAUUUAUUGGAUUAGGUUCCAUUGGCAGGUGAGAUUCUUAUCCUAAAUGCUUUAUUCUAUUUUUGCCAAGACACUUCUCCUUAAUAUGUUUAAUAUUCAUAAUAAAUUUCUAAUGCAUUUCUAAUUAGGAUUUUUUCUAAUGGUGAUUAAAUCUGUCAUAGCGUCAACAGGUUAAAGACGAUGUACCCUUUUCCCGUUUAGAUACCAACCAUUGCAUUCAGCAGUCAGAUCUGUUGCUUAUUUAUUUGUAGAAUCAAGUGGGUUAAAAGCAUCUAUUAACGACACUUCAAUAAAACACUCUUUUCUUAUUUGUGUGAGUACUAUUUGUUUCACCUUUUGCACCUCAUCAUCAUAGCAUCUGGUUUCAAAAAUGAAUGACUACUUGCGAAGGUAUUGUUUUUAGUUUCUUCUUUUUGGUUCAACUUCUUUGAUUUUCAGUAGUUGGUCCAUUAAUCAUCUAAAAUUUUCAGUAAGAUGUUUCUACAUCAUAUUCUUGAAUGUUCCUGAUUUCACAUCCAUGGUAUCUGCUUUGCCUUAGUACCUGUUCAAGCUUCACUCAUGAUUUGUUGCUUUCUCCCUAUCAGUCUUACCAUUUUGUUUUGCUUGCUUUACCUUGUAGCUUCUUCCAGUAGUUGUUUUUUUCCUUUAUGUCAGAGCUGCUCUGUCACACUUCUUAUGCUUUUACGAUGUCCUAAUAAAAGUUUUGUGUGGGCAGAUAAUUUUUUGCUUACUACAAACCGUAAGAAACUGAAGCUUACUGAUUUGGGGCUUGCACGAGAGGAAACUAUAACUGAAAUGAUGACGACUGAAACUGGGACAUACCGAUAUGGACAUAGAGUUCGUUGAAGAUAGAGGUCUGGCAUUGUAUUGAAGCUCAACUCCGCACGAAAGUGUACAACUUCACAAUCUGAUGGAAAAGAACUUUGGUGAUAUAGGCCAGGGCGGAGGACGUUGUCAAUGGAAAACAUGGCUCCACAUGAAGGUUCACUUGCCAAUAGUCUUCAAGAAGAUGCGAAGGUCAUGGUUUUGUGUUGAUGACCCUUGAAAAAAUACCUUCUCAUUUUCUUGUUUGAAGGAACGCUAGGAGGAAUUGAGGAUGCGAAAAAUGUACGGAGGAAAGGGAGACUAGGAGAGGUGCACGGUGAGGCAUCGACGAAUCCUAAAAAGAGAAACUUUUGUCACGGUGUUCUCAUAUUCAAACUUGAAUCAAGUAUGCUUUUUGAAUGGCUUGCACUAAAGCAGAUUAUAAUUCUUAUACUUGUGUUUUGAAUUGACUACAUGUUGUCGUCUCCUAUUGUAUACAUGUUCCGUAACUACCAUUUUGUGAUGGGUUGUUAAGCUA